UGGGGAAUAUUGGGGCAAUGGGGGCGCAAGUCUGACCCAGCAACGCCGCGUGAAGGAAGAAGGCUUUCGGGUUGUAAACUUCUUUUAAGGGGGAACAGUAGAAGACGGUACCUGACUAAGAAGCCCCGGCUAACUACGUGCCAGCAGCCGCGGUAAUACGUAGGGGGCAAGCGUUAUCCGGAUUUACUGGGUGUAAAGGGAGCGUAGACGGUUUUGCAAGUCUGAAGUGAAAGCCCGGGGCUUAACCCCGGGACUGCUUUGGAAACUGUAGGACUAGAGUGCAGGAGAGGUAAGUGGAAUUCCUAGUGUAGCGGUGAAAUGCGUAGAUAUUAGGAGGAACACCAGUGGCGAAGGCGGCUUACUGGACUGUAACUGACGUUGAGGCUCGAAAGCGUGGGGAGCAAACAGGAUUAGAUACCCUGGUAGU
rnacentral:rRNA from 1 species